rnacentral:rRNA from 1 species
GAUGAACGCUGGCGGCGUGCCUAAUACAUGCAAGUCGAGCGAACGGACGAGAAGCUUGCUUCUCUGAUGUUAGCGGCGGACGGGUGAGUAACACGUGGGUAACCUACCUAUAAGACUGGGAUAACUUCGGGAAACCGGAGCUAAUACCGGAUAAUAUUUUGAACCGCAUGGUUCAAAAGUGAAAGACGGUCUUGCUGUCACUUAUAGAUGGAUCCGCGCUGCAUUAGCUAGUUGGUAAGGUAACGGCUUACCAAGGCAACGAUGCAUAGCCGACCUGAGAGGGUGAUCGGCCACACUGGAACUGAGACACGGUCCAGACUCCUACGGGAGGCAGCAGUAGGGAAUCUUCCGCAAUGGGCGAAAGCCUGACGGAGCAACGCCGCGUGAGUGAUGAAGGUCUUCGGAUCGUAAAACUCUGUUAUUAGGGAAGAACAUAUGUGUAAGUAACUGUGCACAUCUUGACGGUACCUAAUCAGAAAGCCACGGCUAACUACGUG